rnacentral:rRNA from 1 species
UCCCUUAGAUGUUCUGGGCCGCACGCGCGCUACACUGACGAAUGCAACGAGCUUAUAACCUUGGCCGAAAGGUCUGGGUAAUCUCCAAAUUUCGUCGUGAUGGGGAUAGAUUAUUGCAAUUAUUAAUCUUCAACGAGGAAUGCCUAGUAAGCGCAAGUCAUCAGCUUGCGUUGAUUACGUCCCUGCCCUUUGUACACACCGCCCGUCGCUCCUACCGAUUGAAUGGUCCGGUGAAGCGUUCGGACCGUGGCCUUUGGACGGUUCGCCGUCUGUUGGCUGCGGGAAGUUCGUUAAACCUUAUCAUUUAGAGGAAGGAGAAGUCGUAACA